rnacentral:rRNA from 1 species
UACGGGGGGAGCAAGCGUUGUUCGGAUUUACUGGGUGUAAAGGGCGCGUAGGCGGCCACCGCAAGUCGACUGUGAAAUCUCCGGGCUUAACCCGGAAAGGUCAGCCGAUACUGCGGGGCUAGAGUGCAGAAGGGGCAACUGGAAUUCUCGGUGUAGCGGUGAAAUGCGUAGAUAUCGAGAGGAACACCUGCGGCGAAGGCGGGUUGCUGGGCUGACACUGACGCUGAUGCGCGAAAGCUAGGGGAGCGAACAGG